AUUAACGUUGGCAGUGCGCCUAACACAUGCAAGUCGAGCGAUAUAGCGGCAGACGAGAGAGUAAUAGUAAGGAAUUACCCCCGAGUGAAGGAUAGCCAGCCGAAAGGUUGGGUAAUCCUGCAUAAUAUCGAAAGAUCAAAGCCUUCGGGCGCUUGGGGAGAGGCCUUACUCCUAUCAGCUAGUUGGUGAGGUAAAAGGCUCACCAAGGCGAUGACGAGUAGCUGGUCUGAGAGGAUGAUCAGCCUCGAUGGGACUGAGACACGGCCCAUACUCCUACGGGAGGCAGCAGUUGGGGAUUUUGCACAAUGGAGGAAACUCUGAUGCAGCGACACUGCGUGAAGGAUGAAGGUUUUCGGAUCGUAAACUUCUUUUAGUGGGGAGUAAUCUUGAAAGUACCCACUGAAUAAGGACCGGCUAACUACGUG
rnacentral:rRNA from 1 species